AUUCAUCACAGAUGCUGGGGUGCCCUGGAGGUUAGAGACUUUCAUUGCUAGAUGAUGGUGACGGACUAAGCUGUCCCUCAGGGAGCUUGGAUGGAUGGCUUCAUCAUCAGCACCAGCACGACAUGGCUAAAUGGGGGUAAAUGGGGAACCAGACCAGGAGUGAAGACAGGAAGAUUUCCAAGAGGAACCAUGAAUUGGGCUUCAUCGUUCCUUUUCUUCCUGAGCUGUUGGGGGCCUGCCCUCUGCUGAGACAGAGGCCCAAGACAAGAGGGACUAAGGACAGGGUGUGAUCUUAUUCCUCAGUCCUCUCCCUUUCCUCCCAUGCUUUCUUUUGUCCAGGAUCUGUGACCAUGGCUGCCCACUCCUCUUAUCCUUAACCCCAGGUGUUCACACUGUUGUCCUUACAACCUGGCCUCAUCAACAUUUUUAUCAACUUCUAUCACCAGACAUACCUGAGGGACAAGCAGGAGAUGCUGACUUAAAGAGCAGGACUGAGUGCCAAAACUGGAGGAACUGUCCCUAGACAGAAGACAACAUGGCUCCCAGCCCACCUGUGCUGAGCAGAUCCCUCUGCCACUAUAUUUAAUCCAAUGAGGGAAGGUGAAAAAUUGCCUCUUUUCCAGAGAGCAGACAAGAAAUGGUCCCAUCAUCCUGUACUCACUUCUGUUAGAGAACUUCUCAUCUGGACUUGUAAUUGUUUAUGCAUCUCCUUCCCCUACUUGACCUCAUGUCAGGAACUGUCUUAUUCCCAGUGUUCCCUAUACCUCACAUGGAGUCUCAAUAGAUGUGCCUUUGGGCCCUUGGAUGCUGUGACUGGCAGUCAUGACCUCUGGUGAAGAACAGGCCUGGAAGUGAAAGAAGUCAAGGCUGGUGGUUGGAAACUGUGACUGAGAAUAUCCAAGAGCCAUUGCGGUCUGUUCCAUCUCUGGUGUGGCUGUGUAAAUAAUUCCCUGUGCAUUUCUUCUGUUUACCUCUGCUUACAGGUGAAUUUACAUAAUUGUAUGAUGUGUGUGUGUGUGUGUGUGUGUGUGUGUGUGUGUGUGUGUGAGAGAGAGAGAGAGAGAGAGAGAGAGAGAGAGAGAGAGAGAGAGAGUGUGUAUGUAAAUGGUGUCAGGGAAAGGGCCAUAUGCAUAUA
rnacentral:lncRNA from 1 species